rnacentral:rRNA from 5 species
ACGACCAUACCUACCAGAAAAUACGGGAUCCCGUCCGCUCUCCCUUAGUCAAGCUGGUAAGGGGCGGAUUAGUAGUUGGGUCGGUGACGACCAGCGAAUCCCCGCUGUUGUAUGUU